rnacentral:lncRNA from 1 species
AUUAAGUCCUAUGUCUAGUUUAGGUACCGGAUUAGGCUUGGUGUGUAUUUGGUUAGUGUAGGCCUGACGUUGGCCUGUAUGUGUUUGAAGGAUUGCUUGUGAAGGGUGGUGGAUAUUAAAGUUAUGCUGUAUCAUUGGUUGGCCGAUCAUGUUCUUGUUUGAUUGUUGGUCGACCGGCUCAUGAUACUUGUAUAGUCAAAGUAUCUAACACUACAUGAGUACUGAACUCAAGCGUAUAUAUGGUUAACUAGGGAUUGGUUGUUGACUUGUUUUAAUGCAGGUUCCCGUUACUUGAAGCUAAAUCAUGGUAGGAGGCCAAGUCUAACUUAGUAACGGUUUGCUUAGCCUUAGCUUAUAUUGCAUGCUAGGGUUAUAUUGAUUGUUAUUUUGGGUUGUCUGGGUUAGAGUCUAGUUUGCGGGUAGAGGCCGCCAGCUCACUGAGUAAUACUAGAUUACUCAUCCAACUCCGUUGUCCUUUUUGCAGGUCGCUUUAGGUAAGGAUGAUCGGAUAGCUUGGUGCUGGACGUUAGGACCGCCGGUGUAGAUUUUCAUGCCUUUUGUAAACGGUAUUGUGAAUUGUGUUAUGUUGACUCGAUUUUGCAUUAGGCCGGGCCUAGUCUUGAAUUAUUCAAUGUAUGAAUAUUUCUUAAAUCAAUAAAAGCAAUUGUCUUAUAUGCGCUUCAUGAGUACUCUGAUAUUUGACUAGUCCGGUCUAACACAACGUUUGGUCGUGGUACGGGUUGAAAAGCCUUAGGCUUCGAUCUAACGGAAAACACUAACUUUAGGUACAGGUUGCAAAGCCUUGUGCCUUGACGCAGCGGGACGUGUUAGUGGACGAACUGGUCGAGGUCGUGGAAUAAAUUUUGUGACUCUGGCCGGAUCGUCCCUAACCCGUCACAUAGCGCUUCCGGACCAUGGUGUUGGGUUGGACGGUCAGUCAUGUUCUU